UGGGGAAUUUUGCACAAUGGGGGAAACCCUGGUGCAGCGACGCCGCGUGAUUUAGAAGGCCUUCGGGUUGUAAAAAUCUUUUCUAUGGGAAGAAAAUGACAGUACCAUAGGAAUAAGGACCGGCUAAUUACGUGCCAGCAGCCGCGGUAAUACGUAAGGUCCGAGCGUUGUCCGGAAUCAUUGGGCGUAAAGGGUACGUAGGCGGGUAAGCAAGUUAGAAGUGAAAUCCUAUAGCUCAACUAUAGUAAGCUUUUAAAACUGCUCAUCUUGAGGUAUGGAAGGGAAAGUGGAAUUCCUAGUGUAGCGGUGAAAUGCGCAGAUAUUAGGAGGAAUACCGGUGGCGAAGGCGACUUUCUGGCCAUAACCUGACGCUGAGGUACGAAAGCGUGGGUAGCAAACAGG
rnacentral:rRNA from 1 species